rnacentral:lncRNA from 1 species
GAAUAUUUGAGCUGAAUCAGUUUUUACUGUGUAAGUUGUAGAUUUGUUCCCUCUGUGGAGUCCACAGCUUCAUGCAGUCGGUUUAGCUGACUUUCUUGUGGCACUGAGGGCAGUUUGAGUGCAUUACAGCAGACUGAUCUUCUCUGUUAUCUUUCCAGUGUGAGUGCACGAAAGGAUCUCACAGAUGAACAUGUGGCCCCUGACACUCCAGCCACCUCUUCUGCACCAGUCUCACCUCCAGCUGAGGCUCAGACGAAUAAAUCAAAGAAGGCUUCCUGGUGGCGCAGAUGGCUUUUUUGUGAGAAAAAGUCAAAGGUUUUUCCCAAAAAUGAAGACAAGGCAGAAGACACGGUCGUGCCACCUUCUGAACCCCAACAGAGGUACGAUAUUAUUUUACUGUCUGAACAAGUUCUGCUGGUACUCCUUCCUUCUUGGAUCAUGAAGGAGAAUCUUUUGUGUUUUGUCCAGUGUUAACCCCGUCAGCCAGUCUGAGGAUGUUUUGGUCCUUUUACUGUGUUCCUAUUUAAAGCUGAUUGAUUGCUUUGUGUUUCUUCUCCUGUAAUUUCAUCACUGUGAUUGCACUGUUUGUGUCUUUCUAUAACAGUACCAUCAGCACUGAAAAAUGUGAAGUCAAGGACGUUGGUGUCCAGACAGAGGUUUCCUGCCCUCCAAACUCGCUGCUGUUUUUCUGCACGGUACGUUCUACAGAGCCGAGUGUGACACGUGAACAGAUGUUAUAGGAACAUGUGGAGUCUGAAUGUUAGGAUUGACACUCAAAUUCUCAUUAUGUCAUCCAUUUUGGUUGAACUAACUGGUGAUGUGUUCCUCAAAGAAAAAGGUGACCUUAGAUGAUGAGCCGCGUUGUCCUGAAGUCAAUGAGAGAGAUGAGCCAGUUUCCAGGCCGUGUACCCCAGCAGGUCACGGUGGUAGCCAGGGAGCCAUGCUAAGAGACCACGUCACACACUGCUGACUAACAUACGAUGAUGAGUUCGUCAAUGAUGAGCAGUGGCAGAGAACAGCUUACCUGCUGUUCUAUGAAAAACAGGUGAUUUCUCCCAUCAAACAGCUGGAUUGUAAAUGGUAAAUGGCCUGUAUUUGUAUAGUGCUUUACUAGUCCCUAAGGACCCCAAAGCGCUUUACAUCCAUCCAUUCACACACACAUUCACACACUGGUGAUGGCAAGCUACAUUGUAGCCUCAGCCACCCUGGGGCGCACUGACAGAGGCGAGGCUGCCGAACACUGGCGCCACCGGGCCCUCUGACCCUGGAUUGUGUUGGAUACUGUCGUUUAUAUAAGAUUUUAUUGUAAUGUAUAGUAUAUAAGACUUUUAUUUUAUUUGUAUCUUUUAUGUUUAUGUUGUUUAGUGUACACCGAGGGCCGUGGGAGCGUUGCAAUUACAAAUUCUUGUGUAUGAC